GCCAGCAUAGUGCAGUGGAUUGAAUGUUGGACUAUGACUCUGGAGACCAGGGUUCAAUUCCCAGCUCAGCCA
rnacentral:tRNA from 1 species